GGGUUAAGUCCCGUAACGAGCGCAACCCUUGUCCUUAGUUACCAGCACGUUAUGGUGGGCACUCUAAGGAGACUGCCGGUGACAAACCGGAGGAAGGUGGGGAUGACGUCAAGUCAUCAUGGCCCUUACGGCCUGGGCUACACACGUGCUACAAUGGUCGGUACAAAGGGUUGCCAAGCCGCGAGGUGGAGCUAAUCCCAUAAAACCGAUCGUAGUCCGGAUCGCAGUCUGCAACUCGACUGCGUGAAGUCGGAAUCGCUAGUAAUCGUGAAUCAGAAUGUCACGGUGAAUACGUUCCCGGGCCUU
rnacentral:rRNA from 1 species